ensembl:misc_RNA
CAACCCCACACCCGCUCUCAGCUGGCCGGUGUGGCACAACCCUACCCCCACCUCCCCUUCUUGGCCUUCGCCAGUGUGGGAGCCUCGUCUCACUGGAGAGUCCCUUCAG